ACCUAUAAAUAGGGACAGAAAACUGAACAAUGCUGUCAAAGAAAUAUUGCUCAUACAAGACUUCUACCGUCAUGGAGAGCAACAACAUGGAUGAGGCCUUUUUUUCUUGACAUACCAGAUUCCCCACUAGAAGCUUUAAAUUUGGAACAAGAUGGAAGUCAAAACCACCCGAUAGGUUUUCCUGAGAUUCCAGAAGAUGACUUAUCCAGUGUUAUCCCUCAAGAAGAAAUGUUGGAGGGGAGCUCGCUUAAAGGGGCCAAGAAAUUUCCCUCUGAAUCAGCAGCAGUUGGAAGCAAGGGUAUUAGACCCACCGAUUUUGAACAGCCCUGCACGUCCAAAUCCCUUAUAAUACAGAGCCAGCUGGCCUUAAAAUAGGCCAAAAAGUCUACCUCUGAAACAGCAACAGUUUUAAGGGUGGGGGGAAAGGGGAUCAGGCCCCCCGAUUUUGAACCGCCCUGCACCUCCAAAGCUAAAAAAUCAACCUCUGCAGCUUCCUGGGACCAUGGUAAGCGAGGCAAAGGGGUCAAAGCCCCUAGUUUUCAACAACCCUAUGCCUUCCCAACCGAAAACGAAUUAGCUUUAAAAAAGGUAAAGACAAACAACCCUGUAGAAGCAACCGUCUCCAGGGGUGGCUUUGAGCAGGGUGAAGAAGUCAGCACCCCGGCUUCUGGGUCCCACAGAACCCUUGCUACAAAGAACAAGCUUCCUGUAGGGUUCCCGCAUCUGUUGUUGUUUGUAAUGAGCUGUGUAGUGUUUGUACCUCUCUAAAGCGUUUAAUAGAUAAAAGGAUUUCAAAGCUAA